GGCUCGUUGGUCUAGGGGUAUGAUUCUCGCUUCGGGUGCGAGAGUCCGGGUUCAAAUCCUGGACGAGCCC
rfam:Astyanax mexicanus Tnplaced_Scaffold3763, whole genome shotgun sequence.